GACGAACGCUGGCGGCGUGCUUAACACAUGCAAGUUGAACGAGAAUUGUUCGAGUGAUUUCUUCGGAAUGAUCAUGAAGAAGGAAAGUAGCUAACGGGUGAGUAACACGUGAGGAACCUGCCUUUCACAAAGGGAUAGCCUCGGGAAACCGGGAUUAAUACCUUAUGAAACCAAACACUCGCAUGAGAGAUUGGUUAAAGAUUUGUCGGUGUUAGAUGUUCUCGCGUCUGAUUAGCUAGUUGGUGGGAUAAAAGCCUACCAAGGCAACGAUCAGUAGACGGAUAGAGAGGUUGAACCGACACUCUGGAACUGAGACACGGUCAAGAAUAGUACGGGAGGGAGGAGUGGGGAAUUUUGCACAAUCGAGGAAACUAUGAUGCAGCGACGCUGGGUGAGUGAUGAAGGUCUUCGGAUUGUAAAGCUAUGUAAUUAGUGAAGAUAAUGACAGUAACUAAGAAGCAAGCCCCGGCUAACUACGUG
rnacentral:rRNA from 1 species